rnacentral:rRNA from 1 species
GAUGAACGCUGGCGGCGUGCCUAAUACAUGCAAGUCGAGCGAACAGACGAGGAGCUUGCUCCUCUGACGUUAGCGGCGGACGGGUGAGUAACACGUGGAUAACCUACCUAUAAGACUGGGAUAACUUCGGGAAACCGGAGCUAAUACCGGAUAAUAUAUUGAACCGCAUGGUUCAAUAGUGAAAGACGGUAUUGCUGUCACUUAUAGAUGGAUCCGCGCCGCAUUAGCUAGUUGGUAAGGUAACGGCUUACCAAGGCGACGAUGCGUAGCCGACCUGAGAGGGUGAUCGGCCACACUGGAACUGAGACACGGUCCAGACUCCUACGGGAGGCAGCAGUAGGGAAUCUUCCGCAAUGGGCGAAAGCCUGACGGAGCAACGCCGCGUGAGUGAUGAAGGUCUUCGGAUCGUAAAACUCUGUUAUUAGGGAAGAACAAAUGCGUAAGUAACUAUGCACGUCUUGACGGUACCUAAUCAGAAAGCCACGGCUAACUACGUG